GACGAACGCUGGCGGCGUGCCUAAUACAUGCAAGUAGAACGCAGUUGCGAACGGGUGAGUAACGCGUAUGUAACUGCCUCAUCGCGGGGGAUAACUAUUGGAAAAGAUAGCUAAUACCGCAUAAUGUGAGAUGGACCUGGGUUGUAUUAGCUAGUUGGUGAGGUAAAGGCUCACCAAGGCGACGAUACAUAGCCGACCGGAGAGGGUGAUGGGCCACACUGGGACUGGGACACGGCCCAGACCCCUACGGGAGGCGGCAUUAGGGAAGCUCCGGCAAGGGAGGGAGUUCUGACCGAGCAACGCCGCGUGAGUGAAGAAGGUUUUCGGAUCUUAAGACUCUGUUGUUAGGGAAGCGGUAUCUAACCAGAAAGCCACGGCUAACUACGUGCCAGCAGCCGCGGUAAUAC
rnacentral:rRNA from 1 species